UACGUAGGUGGCAAGCGUUGUCCGGAUUUAUUGGGCGUAAAGGGCGCGCAGGCGGUCCGUUAAGUCCGAGGUGAGAUCUCCCGGCUCAACUGGGAGGGGUCUUCGGAUACUGACGGACUUGAGGAGUGCAGAGGUGAGUGGAAUUCUCGGUGUAGUGGUGAAAUGCGUAGAUAUCGAGAGGAACACCAGUGGCGAAGGCGGCUCACUGGACCAUCACUGACGCUGAGGCACGAAAGCGUGGGUAGCAAACAGG
rnacentral:rRNA from 1 species